rnacentral:rRNA from 1 species
UACGUAGGGCGCAAGCGUUGUCCGGAAUUAUUGGGCGUAAAGAGCUCGUAGGCGGCUUGUCACGUCGGAUGUGAAAGCCCGGGGCUUAACUCCGGGUCUGCAUUCGAUACGGGCUAGCUAGAGUGUGGUAGGGGAGAUCGGAAUUCCUGGUGUAGCGGUGAAAUGCGCAGAUAUCAGGAGGAACACCGAUGGCGAAGGCAGUUCUCUGGGCCGUAACUGACGCUGAGGAGCGAAAGCGUGGGGAGCGAACAGG